rnacentral:rRNA from 1 species
GACCAAGGAGUCUAGCAUGUGCGCGAGUCAUUGGGACUCUAAUAAACCUAAAGGCGCAAUGAAAGUAAAAGUCCGCCUUGCGCGGACCUAGGGAGGAUGGGACCGUUUUCGUAACGCGGACCUCGCACUCCCGGGGCGUCUCGUUCUCAUCGCGAGAAGAGGCGCACCCAGAGCGUACACGCUGGGACCCGAAAGAUGGUGAACUAUGCCUGGUCAGGACGAAGUCAGGGGAAACCCUGAUGGAGGUCCGUAGCGAUUCUGACGUGCAAAUCGAUCGUCGGAACUGGGUAUAGGGGCGAAAGACUAAUCGAAC